CCUACGGGAGACAGCAGUGGGGAAUAUUGCACAAUGGGGGGAACCCUGAUGCAGCGACGCCGCGUGGGUGAAGGAGUAUUUCGGUAUGUAAAGCCCUAUCAGCAGGGAAGAACAAUGACGGUACCUGACUAAGAAGCACCGGCUAAAUACGUGCCAGCAGCCGCGGUAAUACGUAUGGUGCAAGCGUUAUCCGGAUUUACUGGGUGUAAAGGGAGCGCAGGCGGCGCGUUAAGCCUGGUGUGAAAGUCCGCGGCCCAACCGCGGGACUGCAUUGGGAACUGGCGCGCUGGAGUGCCGGAGGGGUAGGCGGAAUUCCUAGUGUAGCGGUGAAAUGCGUAGAUAUUAGGAGGAACACCAGUGGCGAAGGCGGGCUACUGGACGGUGACUGACGCUGAGGCUCGAAGGCGUGGGUAUCAAACAGGAUGAGAUACCCCGGUAGUC
rnacentral:rRNA from 1 species